rnacentral:tRNA from 1 species
GGAGGCGUGGCCGAGAGGCUUAAGGUAUUGGUUUGCUAAAUCAACGUACAAAACACUUUGUACCAAGGGUUCGAAUCCCUUCGCCUCC